rnacentral:tRNA from 1 species
ACUUUUAAAGGANGACAGAUCCCG